UGAACACACAUACCUGAGUUGGCCAAAUUGUGUGCCUUUUAAUUAUGCGAGAAGUAGUGUUGCUGAGGGUUUCGAAAGCAGGCUAAUCUAUACCGAGGCUACAAGAGUGGUAAUGGCGCAGUGUUUUCAUUUUCUGGGCAUCACGCCAUUGAAGUACCUUCGAUGAUUUCUGGUUUCAGUCUUUUCGGUUUUCUGGAUUUAAGACUAUUGAAUUUUAUGGAGAGCAGCCGACUGUUGAUCAGGAUUAGAGAUGUUCAUCAGUUUUUGUCAUCUACAAUAUUUCUAGCUACUUUUAUGGAUACUUUUGACUGAAAGAACCACCUUCCCUGUGUUAGAUAUCCAACAGUUUGCACAUUUUUAUGUUUCAGGUCUUUUCUUUUGACUGACAUAACCACUUUCUCUUUGUUAACUACUAUCACCAUGCUCAGACCUCUCUCUGUGUUUGAAUGUACUGAUGAAAAUGCUUCUGGCUAUGCUUUUUUUCUAUGUACCACCCCUGCCUUUGGUUUUUAUCCCAGGCAACUGAUGAGGCGAAAAACAAAAACGUAGACAUACAGUUAUA